UCGACCUGAGUCCACGCCAU
rnacentral:rRNA from 1 species